AGCAGUCGCCACGGUAAUACGUAGGUCCCGAGCGUUGUCCGGAUUUAUUGGGCGUAAAGCGAGCGCAGGCGGUUAGAUAAGUCUGAAGUUAAAGGCUGUGGCUUAACCAUAGUACGCUUUGGAAACUGUUUAACUUGAGUGCAAGAGGGGAGAGUGGAAUUCCAUGUGUAGCGGUGAAAUGCGUAGAUAUAUGGAGGAACACCGGUGGCGAAAGCGGCUCUCUGGCUUGUAACUGACGCAGAGGCUCGAAAGCGUGGGGCGCAAACAGGAUUAGAUACCCCCGUAGUCCCUGUCUCUUAUACA
rnacentral:rRNA from 1 species